rnacentral:rRNA from 1 species
UAAAACUCAAAGGAAUUGACGGGGGCCUACCCAAGCGGUGGAGCAUUUGGUUUAAUUCGAUGCAACGCGAAGAACCUUACCUGGACUUGACAUUUCAAUGACCGCUAUGGAAACAUAGUUUUUCCGAUUUAAUUCGGAACAUUGAACCAGGUGCUGCAUGGCUGUCGUCAGCUCGUGUUGUGAGAUGUUGGGUUAAGUCCCGCAACGAGCGCAACCCUUACCCUUAGUUGCCAGCGAGUAAUGUCGGGGACUCUAGGGGAACUGCCCAGAACAACUGGGAGGAAGGUGAGGACGACGUCAAGUCAUCAUGGCCCUUAUGUCCAGGGCUACACUCGUGCUACAAUGGUCGGUACAAAGGGCAGCGAACUCGCGAGAGUAAGCGAAUCCCAUAAAACCGGUCUCAGUUCGGAUUGCAGGCUGAAAUUCGCCUGCAUGAAGUUGGAAUCGCUAGUAAUCGUGGGUCAGCAAUACCACGGUGAAUUAGUUCCUAGGCCUUGUACACACCGCCCGUCACACCACGAAAGUUGGUUAUACCAGAAGUCGC